UCACGGAACACACUCUUCUGGUUUCUCUUUCUCUCUCUUCUUUCUUACACUGAAAUCCUCUUGUGAUGGUGCCCUAGAUCCAUGGCUUCUCUGUCCAACCUUUGCAUGUGUUUCACUGUUGCUGAGUUUCAACGUUACCCUUUUUCCUCUCUUCCUCUCUGGGUCCUGGAAAAGCCUUUGGUGGGUCCCACAUUCACACCUUUGCAAACUCACUUCCACCCAAAUGCUUGUAACUUCUGAACACCCCUCCAGUUAGUAUUUAACGUUCUCUUGGUUCCACAUUUGUAAAGUUUGAUGCUUCCCCGUUCAUAAAUCACCGGUAUUUCAUUGGGUAAAUCAUUCCACUUUGUAAAAAGGUGUUUCUUUUUUGUCUAAUUAUUACUAUUUUGAAGAUUUCUGAGGUUUGGUUUGUGGAAUUUGAGGUUGUAAACUGUUUGGUCAGGUUUUUGAGUUUUUGUGGAUUGAGUAAUCUGAGAUCACAUUUGGGGUUAUGUGAAUAUUGGGUUACUGUAGUAAUUAUUGUUACUAUUACCAUUUGUGUGUAUGUUUGUGUAACAUUGGUGAUUAUGGUGAGUGAAGUAAAGACGAGAAUGCUAAGAUAGUAUCGUGGGAAUGUAAUUGAAGGGGUGAGAACUGAGAAACAUUGAGAUUGAAACUUGGUGUCUGUGAAAGGGGGUUGUUUGUUGAGCAUAAUGGGUGGUGUCUGUUGCAAGCCCUCUGCCAUUGAGGAUAGCAAGGAGAGUCCAAGGGAGCGUAUGUCGACCAAGGCGGCUUCAUUGGACUCUCGUGUGUCGAGGGGUGCUUCCUUGAGGCGGGAGGAUGCAUAUAGGGGGAAGGAUAGGUAUGAUGGUAAUGAUGUGAGGACUGCUUUGAUUGAUAAGCAAGGGAACGGUUCUGUGCGGUUGCAAGACGAAAAUAUUGAGAGGAAGAGGGAGAGAAUGGAGUGUGUUGUUGCUGCUCAACAACAUCCAGGGGCUGGUAGUGUUCCCAAGGCCAUGGAAGGGGAGCAGGUUGCAGCUGGAUGGCCAUCCUGGCUGGCAGCAGUGGCUGGAGAGGCUAUUAAGGGAUGGUUGCCUCGCCGUGCUGAUUCCUUCGAGAAGCUGGAUAAAAUUGGACAGGGAACUUAUAGUAAUGUUUAUAGGGCUCGUGAUCUUGAGCAAAAUAAAAUUGUUGCUUUGAAAAAAGUCAGGUUUGAUAAUCUUGAGCCAGAGAGUGUUCGCUUCAUGGCAAGGGAAAUUCACAUUCUACGUAGGCUUGAUCAUCCAAAUGUCAUAAAACUGGAAGGCCUUGUUACAUCAAGGAUGUCUUGCAGCUUAUACCUUGUUUUCGAAUACAUGGAGCAUGAUUUGGCUGGGCUUGCAUCACAUCCUAAACUGAAGUUUACGGAAGCACAGGUAAAAUGUUACAUGCAGCAACUUCUACAAGGACUUGACCACUGCCACAACUGUGGUGUGCUGCACCGUGACAUUAAGGGUUCCAAUCUUUUGAUUGAUAACAAUGGCAUCUUGAAGAUUGCAGACUUUGGUUUGGCAAGUGUUUUUGAUCCAAAUCAAACUCAGCCUUUGACAAGCCGAGUUGUCACUCUUUGGUACCGUCCACCAGAGCUUUUACUUGGUGCCACAUACUAUGGCACUGCUGUAGAUUUAUGGAGUACAGGCUGUAUACUUGCUGAGUUGUAUGCUGGCAAACCUAUAAUGCCUGGAAGAACUGAGGUGGAGCAGUUGCAUAAAAUUUUUAAACUUUGUGGUUCACCUUCUGAGGAUUAUUGGAGAAAAUCAAAGUUGCCACAUGCAACCAUAUUUAAGCCCCGACAACCCUAUUGGCGUUGUGUUGCCGACACAUUCAAGGAUUUCCCUGCACCUGCUUUAGCACUCAUGGAGACUCUUUUGUCCAUUGAUCCUGCUGAUCGUGGAACUGCAGCAUCUGCUUUGAAGAGUGAUUUCUUCACAACAAAGCCUCUACCUUGUGAUCCUUCAAGUUUGCCAAAGUAUCCUCCUAGCAAAGAAUUUGAUGCCAAACUACGGGACGAACAAGCAAGAAGCAGGCAGGGGGCAACAGGAAGCAGGGGCCAGAGACAUGACCUUGAAAGAAGAGGGGCAAGAGAAUCUCGAGCUGUUCCUGCACCUGAUGCCAAUGCUGAACUGCCACUGUCAAUGCAGAAGAGACAAAGUCAGGCCCAAUCAAAAAGCAGAAGUGAGAAGUUUAAUCCUCAUCCUGAAGAAGCUUCUGGAUUUCCCAUUGAUCCCCCCAGAUCGUCACAAGCUGUAGAAGUAGGUAUAGAAACUCAAGUACCACAACAUAAAAGAGCCUCCCAUUCGGGUCCGCUGGCUCACCGAACUGCAUGGGCUAAAUCUGGGAAGAACCAGGAUGAUGCUCCAAAGAUUUCAGUUGGGGGCGACCUAUCAACAAUCUCAGGCUUAGUUGCUGCAAGGAGUAUGUUGUCAGAUGAUCGCAGAGAAAGAUCUGGAUCGUCACAAACGGAGGCUUCAAAAUUAACGAACAGAUUCCCAGGAUCAUUCAAGGACUUCUCUGAAUCGUCAAUAAAACAAGAUCAAAGGCAUCAUGUACAGGGCCAAGUAGGCACUUCCCAAAAGGAAGAAGGGAGAAGCAGCAACAAAGACCUAGUUCUUGUUGGUUAUGGAUCAGAGGGUCAUAAAAUUCAUUACUCUGGUCCAUUAACAUCAAGCAACAUGGAUCAGGUGUUGAAAGACCAUGACCGCCAAAUUCAAGAGGCUGUUAGACGGGCACGUUUGGAUAAAGCAAAAAUUAGGAGGCUCCAAGCUGAAGGGAACCAGGAAAAACAGAGAAACUACCCUAAACUAUCCUUAAGAAGGAUGGUUUCAAGGGCAAGUGAAGGAUUAUCCCAAAUACCAAAAGGUUGGGUUUGGUGAACCCCAACAGAUGCAAGGAAGUGGGCAACUUCAUUAGCUUCCCUGUAUGCAUGAGAGAUGGAAAGAGACCAGCUACGAUAUGCAAGGUAAAAAAUUUGCAUACUUAACCCUGCAUGUUGGUGCAGCUGGGGGCACUCCCGCGAGUUGAUAAUCUUUUCUACCUCAAGAUUGUCCACUUCGCAGCAAACAUUUCUGAAGUCCUUGUUCCAAGCUAGCUCCAAGACAUGAAGCAAAGCAAGCAAUUCGACCUUCAUAACAUCACCAUAGCCAUCAAAUGCAAAGGAGGUCCGAACUUCUUCCCUGGGCACGAGACACCAACAUGCAUUAUCAAAUCAUCAUGAAGAAAAUGUAUGUUGUGGAUAACUUUCUAAAUACCCCAGCCCUCAUCAUAUUUUUUUUUGUUGUUACGUCGUUUCCAAAUCCAACAUGCAGCAGCAGCAAAUAAGACAUCCUUAUUCCCCAAGAUCAAGCGUUUUAUCCAGGCAAACAGGGUGAGUGUCAAAAAACCCUACUCGAGAAGUGAAAUUGAGACGAGACCAAAUAUCUCUCGCAUGUGGGCAAUCCCUGAUGUAAUGAAGAGUGUCCUCCAUCACAUGAGAGCAGACUUGACAAGCUGGGGAGUUCACUAAGUUACGGUGACGACGAACUGAAUUUGUUGGCAGGGAUUUAUGCAAGAUAAGCCAAAGGAACAUGCAAAUUUUCUCAGGGAUCUCAAGCUUCCAAAGCCACCUAAAGGACGCUAACGGGGAGAGAUGAGCUUCAUUGUGAACGCUAAGUAACCAAGAGUUGGUAGAGGCUGCUGUGUGGGUUCCAUUCGCCGAAUGUUUCCAUACCCAACAAUCUUCAAAGCCUGGAGCUAGGACGCAAUCAAUGCUGGCAAGGUUCUGCAUGAAAGAGUCAAGGAGGAUAGUAUUAGUAUAUAAAUGAUUUGCGCACCAAUUCUCAUCUAUCAUAAUAUCCCGAAGACAUAGAUUCACAUCAUGACAAGAGACCUAGGGGUUAGAUUGGCACAUUAGGCCAGAGGUAGCCUGUUAGGAGCAGAGCAUUAUUGCUCCUAUCCUUCUUAAGGAUAGUCAGCAUAGUCGUCCAGAUACAUGGGUCUCUUGGUGCUCCUGUUGGGCGCUCUCCAUAUGGGCUUCGAUGUCUUCUGUUGCUAACAGCCCAAUCAUCAGAUGAGUUACCCCGUCUAAAUUUAAAACCACCCAACAGUGUAUUUUUGCCCCUUAAAAUACCCCUCCGAAUAAAUGAAGCAUCAGGAGAUGACUUCACAUUAAAAAUGUAUUGUGCAAUAAAUAUUUGUGCAUACGAACUUGAACCUUGAACCCAGAGCGAGUCCUUCUUCAUGAUUAUACUCCAAACCAACUUCCCCACCAGCGAUAUAUUAGGGAGACAAGAAUCACGAAUUUUGAGACCCUGGUUUGCUUCCGAGAAGUCACCAUCUUCCAGUUCACAAGGUUCCAGCCCUUUUUGUCACCAUUCGAAGACCAAAAGCAAUUCCAUUAUAAACUGCGGGCGUAAGCCAGAAAAGUUGCAUGGUGUAAACUGGAAGAGAGGAGAUGAUCGAUUUAAUGAGACAGUCUGCCCGCCCUAUUCAACAUGCAGCCCUUCCAAGAAGCUAGGAGACGGUGCACCUUUUCUAUAACAGAAUGAAAGGUCUGAUUGGUUGUUCUUACCUGGAGAGGUGGUAAACCGAGGUAUCUCCCGAGAUAUGUCACCCUCUGUUGUGUAAAAGGAUCGUAAAACUAUACAACGAAAAACCUAAUUUUGUUGUACACAAGUCUACUGUACAUCUUUUUACACCCCUUUUAAUUAAUUUUAAUU